rnacentral:rRNA from 1 species
CGAACUGUGCAAACGUUAUUCGGAAUCACUGGGCUUACAGGGUGCGUAGGCGGCUUGCUAAGUAGGGUGUGAAAGCCCCCGGCUUAACCGGGGAAUGGCGCCCUAAACUGGCGAGCUGGAGUGAGAUAGGGGUGUGCGGAACUUCCGGUGGAGCGGUGAAAUGUGUUGAUAUCGGAAGGAACGCCGGUGGCGAAAGCGGCACACUGGAUCUCAACUGACGCUGAGGCACGAAAGCCAGGGGAGCGAACGGGAUUAGAUACCCCGGUAGUCCUGGCUGUAAACGAUGAGCACUAGCUGGGAGGGACGUAGGUCCUUCCCAACGGAGCGAAAGUGUUAAGUGCUCCGCCUGGGGAGUAUGGUCGCAAGGCUG